rnacentral:rRNA from 1 species
UACGUAGGCAGCAAGCGUUGUUCGGAGUUACUGGGCGUAAAGAGCUCGUAGGCGGUUUGUCGCGUCUGCUGUGAAAAACUCGGGGCUUAACCCCGGGCCUGCAGUGGGUACGGGCAGACUAGAGUGCGGUAGGGGAGACUGGAAUUCCUGGUGUAGCGGUGAAAUGCGCAGAUAUCAGGAGGAACACCGGUGGCGAAGGCGGGUCUCUGG